CACAGAGGAGCUUGCUCCUUGGGUGACGAGCGGCGGACGGGUGAGUAAAGUCUGGGGAUCUGCCUGAUGGAGGGGGAUAACUACUGGAAACGGUAGCUAAUACCGCAUGACGUCUUCGGACCAAAGUGGGGGACCUUCGGGCCUCACGCCAUGAGAUGAACCCAGAUGGGAUUAGCUGGUAGGUGAGGUAACGGCUCACCUAGGCGACGAUCCCUAGCUGGUCUGAGAGGAUGACCAGCCACACUGGAACUGAGACACGGUCCAGACUCCUACGGGAGGCAGCAGUGGGGAAUAUUGCACAAUGGGGGAAACCCUGAUGCAGCCAUGCCGCGUGUGUGAAGAAGGCCUUCGGGUUGUAAAGCACUUUCAGCGGGGAGGAAGGCAAUAAACUUAAUAAGUUUGUUGAUUGACGUUACCCGCAGAAGAAGCACCGGCUAACUCCGUGCCAGCAGCCGCGGUAAUACGGAGGGUGCAAGCGUUAAUCGGAAUGACUGGGCGUAAAGCGCACGCAGGCGGUCUGUUAAGUUGGAUGUGAAAUCCCCGGGCUCAACCCGGGAACAGCAUUCAAAACUGACAGGCUAGAGUCUCGUAGAGGGGGGUAGAAUUCCAGGUGUAGCGGUGAAAUGCGUAGAGAUCUGGAGGAAUACCGGUGGCGAAGGCGGCCCCCUGGACGAAGACUGACGCUCAGGUGCGAAAGCGUGGGGAGCAAACAGGAUUAGAUACCCUGGUAGUCCACGCCGUAAACGAUGUCGACUUGGAGGCUGUGGUCUUGAACCGUGGCUUCCGGAGCUAACGCGUUAAGUCGACCGCCUGGGGAGUACGGCCGCAAGGUUAAAACUCAAAUGAAUUGACGGGGGCCCGCACAAGCGGUGGAGCAUGUGGUUUAAUUCGAUGCAACGCGAAGAACCUUACCUACUCUUGACAUCCAGAGAAGACUGUAGAGAUACGGUUGUGCCUUCGGGAGCUCUGAGACAGGUGCUGCAUGGCUGUCGUCAGCUCGUGUUGUGAAAUGUUGGGUUAAGUCCCGCAACGAGCGCAACCCUUAUCCUUUGUUGCCAGCGAUACGGUCGGGAACUCAAAGGAGACUGCCGGUGAUAAACCGGAGGAAGGUGGGGAUGACGUCAAGUCAUCAUGGCCCUUACGAGUAGGGCUACACACGUGCUACAAUGGCGCAUACAAAGAGAAGCGAGCCUGCGAGGGUGAGCGGACCUCAUAAAGUGCGUCGUAGUCCGGAUUGGAGUCUGCAACUCGACUCCAUGAAGUCGGAAUCGCUAGUAAUCGUAGAUCAGAAUGCUACGGUGAAUACGUUCCCGGGCCUUGUACACACCGCCCGUCACACCAUGGGAGUGGGUUGCAAAAGAAGUAGGUAG
rnacentral:rRNA from 1 species